rnacentral:lncRNA from 1 species
AAGGGAAAUCUGCAUCGGGAAAGCGGCGGUUUACGCAGCAGCCCGGCUGAACACCGCGAGCCAAGGGGCUGGGGGGCGGGGACGGUGCCCACCCCCCAGGCCCCCACUCUUCCCCCAGGCGCCCACCGCCGCGGACCCCGGGAGGGAGGAGGGGUCCGGGGAAAGCGACCCCAGCUCCUUCCUCCCAAGGCGAGUUUGCCGGAGAAGGCAGGGGUGAGCCACGGUGGCUGCCCGGCUGUGCACCGGCGCCGGAGUUUGGACCAAGACAAAGACAGGAGCUGUCCGCGGUGCUGAAUCGGCGGCGCCGUCGCCGGAGCAAGGGGGCUUCUGUAACCAGCCCUCUGCUCAUUUACUCCCCAUCCUUCUAGCUCCCCUUCGCUCUGUGACUCUUGCCUUCCCCUGAAUUUAUUUCCCUUUUGGGGGACUCACCUUAGAACCUGCGCCCUGUACACAGGUGUAUAUACAUAUAUCAAAGAACAAAACGAUUGAUUGAAAACGGUGUCUUCUCCUUUCUUCCCAAAUAAAUGAUGUUAGAAAGGUUUAUUUUAACUGUACCCUAAAACGGAGAGAAAUGGAUAUUUCUACUCCUAAAUAAAUGGAAAUUCAUGUUAAAAACAAUAGAGCUAACCUAUAACAAA